CACGCCGUAAACGAUGGAUACUAGUUGUUUGGAAUUCGUUCUGAGUGACUAAGCGAAAGUGAUAAGUAUCCCACCUGGGGAGUACGAACGCAAGUUUGAAACUCAAAGGAAUUGACGGGG
rnacentral:rRNA from 1 species